UCCAGGGUAGCCUAGAGGACAUGGCAUCUGCCCGGUAAGCGGAACACUGUGGGUUCGUUUCCCAUCCCUGGAC
rnacentral:tRNA from 1 species